rnacentral:rRNA from 1 species
UACGGAGGGUGCGAGCGUUGUCCGGAAUCACUGGGCGUAAAGGGCGCGUAGGCGGCCUGGUAAGUAGGGGGUGAAAUCCUGCGGCUUAACCGCAGGGCUGCCUUCUAAACUGUCAGGCUCGAGCACGGUAGAGGCAGAUGGAAUUCCCGGUGUAGCGGUGGAAUGCGUAGAGAUCGGGAAGAACACCAGUGGCGAAGGCGACGUGCUGGGUUGCAACUGACGCUGAGAUGCGAAAGCGUGGGGAGCAAACAGG